UAGAAGGCCAACCGAGAUGUGGUAUGAAACUUCUGAAUAAGAAACUGUGAUAAGGAGAUACGAUCGUCAAUGCUGAGGGACUCAUCUCCGCUCUUCCAGUACAGCAUCAAGUCUUCAUCUGUAUACAGCGGACCACGGGGGCUGUCACCAUCCUCCAGAGGGUGGUUGGAGUCAAAGAGGAGCCUUAACACCCACUCGCAUCCUGGGCCAUUUGACCUCAGGAAAUCACAUGAUAGGGUUGAAACACGGCAAUCCUCACAAUAGACGAUGGAACAUGCCCACAAUUGCCCGACUACCUCAGCCCCUAUCCUGUCCCCCUUCGAGGUCUC